rnacentral:rRNA from 1 species
UAGGGAAUCUUCGGCAAUGGACGAAAGUCUGACCGAGCAACGCCGCGUGAGUGAAGAAGGUUUUCGGAUCGUAAAACUCUGUUGUUAGAGAAGAACAAGGACGUUAGUAACUGAACGUCCCCUGACGGUAUCUAACCAGAAAGCCACGGCUAACUACGUGCCAGCAGCCGCGGUAAUACGUAGGUGGCAAGCGUUGUCCGGAUUUAUUGGGCGUAAAGCGAGCGCAUGCGGUUUCUUAAGUCUGAUGUGAAAGCCCCCGGCUCAACCGGGGAGGGUCAUUGGAAACUGGGAGACUGGAGUGCAGAAGAGGAGAGUGGAAUUCCAUGUGUAGCGGUGAAAUGCGUAGAUAUAUGGAGGAACACCAGUGGCGAAGGCGGCUCUCUGGUCUGUAACUGACGCUGAGGCUCGAAAGCGUGGGGAGCAAACAGG